rnacentral:lncRNA from 1 species
AUUUAUAUAUGUGAAUUACUAGAAACGUUUCGAUUUUAGGAUUAGAUAUUUUGCAUUUAUACAUUUGUCAGCCUACUGGACUGUAAGUUCAUUGAGGGUAAGAAGAAAAAGACCAUGAUAACCCCUUCUGGGAAUAUCAGUGCCUACGAAAACAUCUGUUUCUCAGUAAAUGUUGGGUAUCGAUGCUGAGCAAUGCUGAAACAUAUGCAUGAGCAUUGUUACUCCAGUACUGAGAGCCAAAGAUGCCAUGGUGCACUCUAUCAUUUUAGAAAGACCACAGACAAUUAGAUGGAAAAGGAAGGCAACAUCUUGCUAGGAUCUUGUGUAUGCUUCCAGGCAGAUGAACAGCCUUUUUCCUAGGGAAAUGCAUGGCAGGCUUCAUGUAAGAGGUUCCCUCAAUAACCAAACACUCCAUUCAAAGGUUAUAUUUACACAGCUCAUUAGGAAAAUUUUUUAUACUUUUGACACUCAUUAGACUCAUAAUCGUCCACUGAAGCUACUGUGUAACAAGAGAUAAACACUCCAUUCUAGAGGAUGAAUAAUUAGGUACUGCUCAGCACUGUGCUCUUUACACGUCUAAUUUUAGAGCAUAAUUAAUCCUGCUGAAGCUGCAUACGAUAAGUGAAAUAUUUAUGCAGCUGUGUUAAUUCAUGUAUUUACUCCUAGAGAGACAUUCAGAAUUGGUCAUGGCUUUCCGGGAAGAUCAUCUGGAGACACCCCCUGGACCAAUGGCAUUUUCUCUCCCAAGUCUUAUGCCUCCCGAUGGCCUCAAGAGAUGAAGCUGAAUAGAGACAUUUCCCAAACCCAAGUCUGACCAGGAAGGCAAUGAGCCAGAACAGAAAAUAUCGAUGAGAACCUAGAUGUUCUAUCAAACCAAACCCUUGCCAGGAAGAGGAACACAUUAGCACUUGAGGUCAGUUGGCAUGUUUGGGCAACUGUGGAACAGGGAACACAAUUCAGAUUUAUCUUCACCAGCUCCAUGAGUGAAGCCCGGUCAUGGGACCUCUCUGAGCUUCAGUAUUCUCAUCUGUAAGAUGGGAAAUAAAUAAUAACUUAUUACAGGGCUGGCUGUUGGAUGGAUUAAAAUGGAAGUGAAGGUGUUUUGCUUGUAAUUGCAGAUGCUGGUGGGAUUUAGGAGAUUAUCUGGCAGUGGUGGUAUCAUUAUGCAGAGAAGCAGUGGAGGUGUGGAUCACCACCGGGUACCCAUCGGGGAAGGGCAUUCAUGAUCCCCAGAAAUGGCACCACUGAGGCAUGACAAGCUUUGAAAUUGUUUACUUGGGCAAGAGACACUCAACCUAUACAGGGACUACCUGCCAUCAGCACAGAAUGGUCUAAAACUGGCUUUGGGAAAAUGGCCUAGAAUCACAUUUUGAUUCUGGGUUUGUGAAUACAAACUCUAAAGUCAGAGUUAUACCAACAUUGAUGAAUUUUCACAAAGGAAGCAUUUUUCAAAGCAAACUCCCUUAAGCUAAUUUAAUUCCUCGAUCGAUGUCUUGCAUAGCGUAGUUAAAUUGUUUCCAACUUUUUUGGAAACAUUUUUACUGGGGUCAAUUCUUUUGUGUUUAAAUUUUAUAAAUAUUUGCUUCAUUGAUCAGGAUUUGGACCACAACAAAUUUUACUAAUUUAUAACUUCUGCCAUUUUGAGUUUUCUUUUGUGGUUAUUAUUUCCACCAAGUCAAGUCCAUUUCUCCUGGGUCAAAAUUGUACAGAGAUCCAAAAUUAGCUAAGAAGAUUUGAGUCAUCUAUGGAUUUUUAGUCAAUACCAAAUUUCACCCUGUGUGCUUUCAGCUCUUGUCAGUUUAUUUUGUGUGGCUUAUUUUUUUUACCAAUAAUAUUCACUGUGAAUUGGGCAAAAAAGAUGGAUGGUUAAUAUUUAUUUUUUUAGCUGAUAAUAAAUCCUGAGUGAUUUUGUAAGACAGAGGCAGAGAGAAGCAGAGAAGGGGAGAGGAUAGAAGAGAGGAAGAGAACUAGGGAGGAGGAAGAGAUCCAGAUGGAAGGAGGUACCAAGCAAAACAUGAAGACGGAGACAGAAAGAGAGAAAAACGAUGAGAAAGAGAAAGUGAGGAAGAGAAACAGAGAAGGAGAAAGAGAUGUUAGUAAGGUACAGAGAGGGAGAGAAUAAAAAGUGAGAUAUAUUGCAAGAAACUAAGAGAAAAAAGGGGGGAAAGAAAGAGAGAAAAAGAGGAUAGAAGAAGGUAACGGGGAAGGAGUGAGGACAGUGAUAUGGUUUGUCUGUGUGCCCACCCAAAUCUCAUCUUGAAUUGUAGCUCUCAUAAUUCCCACCUGUUGUGGGAGGGACCCAGUGGGGGAUAAAUGAAUCAUGGGGCCAGUUUCCCCCAUAAGGUUCUUGUGGUAGUGAAUAAGUCUCAUGAGAUAUGAUUGUUUUAGAAGAGUUUUCCUCUUUUACUUGGUUCUCAUUCUCUCUUGCCUGCCACCAUGUAAGACAUGCCUUUCACCUUCCACCAUGAUUGUGAGGCCUCCCCAGCCACAUGGAACUUUGAGUCCAUUAAACAUCUUUUUCCUUAUAAAUUAUCCAGUAUCGGGUAUGUCUUUAUCAGCAGUGUGAAAAUGAACUAACAGAGAG